rnacentral:rRNA from 1 species
CCUACGGGAGGCAGCAGUGAGGAAUAUUGGUCAAUGGACGAGAGUCUGAACCAGCCAAGUAGCGUGAAGGAUGACUGCCCUAUGGGUUGUAAACUUCUUUUAUAUGGGAAUAAAGUGUUCCACGUGUGGGAUUUUGUAUGUACCAUAUGAAUAAGGAUCGGCUAACGCAGUGCCAGCAGCCGCGGUAAUACGGAGGAUCCGAGCGUUAUCCGGAUUUAUUGGGUUUAAAGGGAGCGUAGGUGGAUUGUUAAGUCAGUUGUGAAAGUUUGCGGCUCAAACGUAAAAUUGCAGUUGAAACUGGCAGUCUUGAGUACAGUAGAGGUGAGCGGAAUUCGUGGUGUAGCGGUGAAAUGCUUAGAUAUCACGAAGAACUCCGAUUGCGAAGGCAGUUCACUGGACUGCAACUGACACUGAGGCUCGAAAGUGUGGGUAUCAAACAGGAUUAGAUACCCGGGUAGUC